ensembl:lncRNA
UGUUGAAAGAUUUUUUAUUACAGGUUCACAUACACCCUUUAAACCAUCAUUUAUUUUUUCUGUGUUUUACAGAGAGAAAAGUGAGGUGUAGAGCAGAGCUCCCUAGUGAAUACUUGGCAGAGUUCUGAAGGUGAUUUCUGAAAAGGUGAGGCAACACACUGCUUGUGCCACAUCAAAUUUGUGCAUCAGGAGAUUUAAGAGAUGUGUAAGAAACAAACCUGUUGCUAUCAAUUUGUAGUUAAGAAAAAUAGGAUGUUAACAAUACAAAUAAUACCCAACAAGGAUACUUUUACUAUUAACAGGCACAUGGAUGGUCACCUAGGAGAUGAAUCCUUGCUAGUUUCAUUUAAAAUCAAAAGCAUCGUUAGUUUGUAUUGUUUUGACAUGUCCCACCUUAUUUACAAGUAGGAAAAUCACGGCAGAUUGUCUUUAACAUUUUUGCUUUGUUCUUCACACCUUUCUGAUUUGCAAGAUCCUUCACUGCCUUAAGCACAACAAAGAGAACGACGACAAUCGAUACCAACAAGGUCACUUGAUGCUUUUCAUGUACAAGGCAUUCUUUUUAAAAAGAUGUAGUGAAAGCAUCCAAGAAAAAUAAUCUUAAGGAUUUGAAGUCUUCAGAGGCAUUCCCUGUACCAUGUAGAUUUGAUCUCAUUCCCUUCUCAGGAAAUAAACACAGUCCUCUUGUUAUAAAAAACUUCGGGUGAGAUUUUUAUCUACAGGGGCAUUAAAACACCUCAGUAGAAGAAUGAGUUUGACUUAGUCUUUCCAUAAAAGCCUCUGCUGUUCUAUCACCGACUCCACGGAAUUCUGGCCACAGUCUUUCUCUUUUCUGGGUGACAGUACCGCUGUGCAGGAUUAAUUUGAGUUGGAGUCCAGCAAAAGAUAAAAUUUUGAGGUGGAUUUGGCAGUGUUAGGUUUGUAGUUAGACUUGAUCAUUCUAAAGAUUUUAUGUAACUUAAAUGAGUCUGUGAUUAUAAAACAUUACUCUUUUUUUGGUGUGCUUUAAUUAUUAAGCCCCCCCAAAAAAACCCAGAAGACCACCCCACAAUCAACAUUCUCUGUCUCCCACUGGUGCCUGAGGCUAACCAAUUGUGAUUUAUCUCUUUUUUUCUUGGGAGAUAUGAUAACCAUCAAAAACAGUAACUAGAAGUUUCUUCACAUCUCAGAAAAACAUUCAAGUCUCUGUCCCGUGGAAUUAUAUAAUUAAAAAUAUUUUGCAUUGCUGCUCAUAAGCUAUGACAAAUGUUUAUGUACAUGUACAUAACCAACGUGGAUUGUUCACUAUUUCUUCUUGUUUCUGUGCAAAAUUAAGGUUGAACUGUAACAUCAUGAGGGAGUACUACUGCACUAGGUCUUGACCCGUUCCCUAAAAUCAGAUUUCUCUAAAUAAAAGAACCAUCUGUAAGAGACUUACAUCUGACGAGGACUUCAAGUGUCUUUCUAAAUAAUUGUAUUAAAAUAGACUCCUUGAACUCACUGUUCCUCUAUUUUCCUGUCCAUCACUCUUAUUCCUGCUUAUUGAAAAGGGCUUUGAAAGAUGCAACAUUAACCACUGAGGUUCUGCUGAGUUUGUAUUUCAUUCAGAGAAAAAGUAUGAAAAAGGACCUGCAGAAUCAGCGAAGGCAUUUCAUCUCAUGCCCUUUUCCAAACCAGACCCGUGUGUCAUUUUGAGAUUCCAGCCUCAGUGUUGUAACUUUGAAAUAAACAUUCCUUUCCUGUAAGAAAGAAAAGAAAACUCAGUUUGUUAAACAGAAAAAAUACAGUAAGGUUCAACAUGAGGCUUUGUGCACCCUUUUCCCUUUCUGUCCCAUUUUAGAGCUCCAUCUGAGGUACAAACUAAACAGGAUAAAUUAUUUCCAACUCUAUUACUCAUUAUGACACACCUCUACACUGCCACUCUGGAGUGAGCUGAAACUAAAAGAGUCAGCCUUGCUUAAUUAACUCUUAGAAAUGCUUCAGGGAGUUCUUCUGAAGUCAUGCUGGGGCUCAGGGCCGGGGUUUGCUGUCACCUGUGACCCGUGCAAUUGCGGAAGGCCACCAAAAGGGUGUAUCCUGCCCUCUCCCUUCAUCUCAGCCCUCUCCAGCCUGCGAAUCGCACCGAUCAAAUGGCUGCAGAGCUUCAGUGGAUUCACCUAAUGAAAUAAAUAUAUAAUUUUUUUCUUAAUGGCUGAGUUUUCUGCGGGAUCGAGUCACUGAACUGACUCGCCCCGUGGCUGCACCAACACCAGACCUAAUGCAGGAAAAGUGAGGGACGUACAUGCAAGAGAAAGGGAACGGGCUCUUUCAGCAGCAGCCUGUUAUUACCCCUAAUUAGAGGUAAUGUCAACCCGUUCUCUGGAUCAUUUAUGCAUGAACACAAUCGGAGCAGGUGGCAGAAGUCCAAGUUUCUUUCCAGAAAGCCCUGAGAAAUCUGUACACUGUCACAAGGAUACUCACAGUUAUUUUUUUCUGCUAAAAAUGUACUUCUGUAUUUUCUGUAGGAGGCUGAAUAGGUUGUCUUAGUACCCUGUGAUUAAUGUGAUCCGGUGCUGAGCACACCGAGGUGCUGCCCUCGGCAGAGCAGCUCUGCUAAAACAGAUCUCCAGCUUCAUAUGCAAAUCGGCACUUCCAUUUGUUCCUGCUACUGCACCCAACCCGAAUCAAGCCACCACAAAGUGGAAGUCAUGGUAGAUCUGCAUUAAAAACAACAUAUUUGAACUUGCAAAAGGCAAAUACAGGUUUGCCAGCAGUCCCAGAGAGGUUAAGGAAAACAUCUUUGCAAAUCUCAUCUGAAGCAGAACUUAACAUUUAGUUGAUGGAAUUUCUGCAGGGGAAAGAUUUUUAUCUACCAUGUCUAGAAAAAUUGUAUUUCAGCUUCCUUCAUAAAACAGAGAAAUACUUAAAUAUCUAAUAUUCCAUCCUAACCCAAGGUAAAGAAAGUAUAGAAUGGUAGAUCUUACAGGAUAAACAGUAUUUUCAAAAGUGUAUUAAGAUUAGUCUGGCCCAUUCUGUGCAAUGGGAAUUAACUGUUUUAGAGCUCAGUGGGGUGAAAUGAUCCCACGUCUUCAUAGAGCCUUCUCCAGCAGAGAAGUUCAGCUCUGGUUUCAGCAUGAGCCGUGCAGUACAACAUUAAUUAAACGACAGCUCCCAGUUCCAAGCUAACGAGGUCAGGAUCCUGCACCUUGGCAUGAUUAGAUGUUAAAUAAUUUAAGCUACAUUAACAUCCAGCAAAAAAAAGUUUUAGUGUUUUUUUCAGAGUUCAGCGCAGCCUAUUGUAUCACAAUGUUCUGUGAUAUAAUGUCAAAAUGAUGUGUUUUCCUUCUUUGACUGUGAAGAAGGCCAGUCUUUUGUUAGCCCUGGGAUGUCCCAUCCAAGCACUGCCUGAUGGAGCCCAGCUCUGGGCACUGUUGGAAAACUGUGCCAUGAUCUGCUCAGGGGGAAAACCGGCCCCAACCCUCAUCAGCCAGCACCAGGCAUAGGAAUUUAAUAUUGCUUCUGAAUGUUUUUAUCCUGUCUAAUGUAGCUGUGGAUAUGGAUAUUCUCAUCAUCCACAACCUACACAUUCCACCUCUCCUUUUCCUUCUCCAGUUCUUUUAAGUUUAGGAUAGUUUUUUUUGUUAUUGACACACAGAUUUUCAUGGUAUAAUGAACUGUAGUUGAAUAGGUAUCAUUUCUGUCUUAAAACAAGCUUUAAAAAGUGUUUUCUAUUUUUGGAGAUCUAUAGAUAGAAACUGUGUUGUUUCUGAAACAUUUACUUCCACACCUCCAUAAUGUGCUCUGAUGUUUCCAGGUGUACAUGAUGGAUACAGCCUUGGUGGGUUUGCUUGAUACACCAAGAGUCUCAGAUUGUCCAUGUCCAAAAAAAAUACUUAGAAAAAUGAGUUGAUUUUCUUUUAUGUCUCUGUUCUGUCUCUUUUGGUAGACUUUUGCAGCAUGGAUGGAUGAUGUGUUUUUUGUCUGAUGAUUCUCUAGUAACAUCCAUUUAUCUCGUAUCCUGACCUCAAUUCUACAGAUGUACACAUGUAUUUAAUUUUAAGAUUGAGUAAUCUUGGCUGAAAGGUCGAGAUAUGUAUAUAUCUCCUCAGGAUUAUGGAUUAAUAAUGCACUUGCUCCAACAGACAUCUGGAAUCCACACUUCAAUAUAUAGCCUAUAAAACACUUCCAUACCAUAAUAAAGUUCAAUCAUCUGCAAACAGGGAGAUGUUAGAGAAAGAUUACAUGAUUUUUCAAGAUUCUGCAAACAGUCCUUGGCAGAAUCAGAAGGAGAAGCUCACUGCCUUAAAUCCUGUUAGAACUCUGUCCUCUCCUGCCUUUAUCCAUGGAUCAUUAAAAUAAGAAUUGUUCUAAAGAGAUCAAUGGGAAGGCCUGCAAAGUUGAAUUUUAAUGUGUUUUAAAUUUUGCAUUAACACUUAAUAUAUUUCAUAUAAUACCUAGGAUGCUUAACUGAUUGCAAAAAGCAAACCAGAGGAACACUGCCAAAGCCAUCAGCCCCGACCCUGAUUUGGGUAUCCUUUGAUGUUCUCUUUCUUGGGGGAUGUGGAGGGGAAGUAAAGGAUGUCACUUCAGAGAGGAGCCACGCUGUGGAACCUGGGGGCUGUUCAAAACCUGCACUCUGACCCUGCUAUUGCAAUCAGAUGGUACCAAUACUUGCUCAGCAUCAAUUUAGAGUAGAUGUUAGGGGGUGUUGUAGAAAUAAGACCCGCCAAUAGUUUUUGGAACUGCAGGAUCUCCAUCCUGCAGAGUUUUUGUAUCAGCAGCUACUUUAUAGCAUUUUUUUUUCUUCUUUUUCAUGCGAUUUCUAACUACCUGUUGUACAUGCAUAUUGCAAAAGCAAUUUUGGUUUAUUUAACACCUGUUUAACCCUAUUUACAAUACAUUCUGGAUUUUAUGACCGGUUUUCAUAGGGCACGUGGGUGCAGUGCC